rnacentral:rRNA from 1 species
GAUGAACGCUGGCGGCGUGCCUAAUACAUGCAAGUCGAGCGAACAGACGAGGAGCUUGCUCCUCUGACGUUAGCGGCGGACGGGUGAGUAACACGUGGAUAACCUACCUAUAAGACUGGGAUAACUUCGGGAAACCGGAGCUAAUACCGGAGAAUAUAUUGAACCGCAGGGUUCAAUAGUGAAAGACGGUUUUGCUGUCACUUAUAGAUGGAUCCGCGCCGCAUUAGCUAGUUGGUAAGGUAACGGCUUACCAAGGCGACGAUGCGUAGCCGACCUGAGAGGGUGAUCGGCCACACUGGAACUGAGACACGGUCCAGACUCCUACGGGAGGCCGCAGUAGGGUAUCUUCCGCAAUGGGCGAAAGCCUGACGGAGCAACGCCGCGUGAGUUAUGAAGGUCUUCGGAUCGUAAAACUCUGUUAUUAGGGAAGAACAAAUGUGUAAGUAACUAUGCACGUCUUGACGGUACCUAAUCAGAAAGCCCCGGCUAACUACGUG